CUCUGGGCUCGCAUGAAGCUCAGGGCAAAAGAG
rnacentral:ncRNA from 1 species